rnacentral:rRNA from 1 species
UACAGAGGGGGCAAGCGUUAUUCGGAAUUAUUGGGCGUAAAGGGCGCGUAGGCGGCCUGGCAAGUGGAAGGUGAAAUCCCUCGGCUUAACCGAGGAACUGCCCUCCAAACUGCUUGGCUUGAGUCCGGGAGAGGUGAGUGGAAUUCCCAGUGUAGCGGUGAAAUGCGUAGAUAUUGGGAGGAACACCAGUGGCGAAGGCGGCUCACUGGACCGGAACUGACGCUGAGGCGCGAAAGCGUGGGUAGCAAACAGG